CCUAAUCCAAUGACUAGUGUCCUUAUAAGAAGAGGGAAAUUCGGACGGAGAGACGCAUGCAGGGAGAAAGUCACGUGGAAACGGAGGCAGAGACUGGAGGGAUGCGUCUGUAACCCAAGGAAUGCCAAGGAUUUCCAGCUGUGGCAGUGGUGUGGCUGUCUUCCAAGCCACAGGUGCAAGAGCUGCCAAGGGCGGCCACCAGCCCUGUGCCCAACCCCAGCUUUGCCUUAGCGGGGAGCUCCCCACAAUUUUGCCACUAUCUUUAGCAAUCACUCUCCUUUCAAAGACACGGAAAUCGAGGCUCCAAGAAAGAAGUAGAGUGGACUAACAUUAACUGUGUGCCUUCUAGGAGCUCCACACAGUGUGUCUUCACUGCUCUGGGCAUCCUGCAAGGAGAAAGCAUCAUCCCAUUUGCAGACGUAAAGACGGAGGCUCCGAGCAUCAAGGACCUUUGCUCUGGGUCACAGAGAUAUUUAGUGGCAAAACCAGAACCAGGAGGACAUGCCGUGACCGUCCCGCCGCUGGGAGGCGUUGGGCAACUUCCCGAACCUCACAGAGCUUCAGCUUCUCCACGUAUAAAAUGCCUUUCAAUUCCACCCGUUUUUACUGAGCUCCUGCUAAGUCCACGACAGUCUGCGGACUUAGCAGUGGAGAAAGAUGGUUUGUUACCGUCUGUCCUUUUGUGCCUUUAAAUGCUGUACCAUGUGCACAUGUAACUUAUUUUUUAAUUUUAUUAAAUAAUAUUAAUACUUA